GGUCAUGUGGCCUAGCGGUCAUGGCAUCUGCCCGGUAAGCGGAAGGUCGUGGGUUCGAUUCCCAUCCCUUGACACU